CUCAUUUUGUCUUCGUCUUUGGUCUUCUAAACAUAAUUAGAAAACAACUCUUGGAGACCAACGUAUAAUAUCACAAACACACAAGGGGCCGAUGGAGUUGCAGAUGAAGAAAUUACAGCAGGUUACCUGGUCUGCCAGUCGCAGCCUGCCUCUGGUCCCUUCACACUGCUCAAAGUCUGGAGACAGAACAACAUGGCUCAGCAGAUAACGUGCUACGUUCCUGAAAGUCCUUCUUUUGUUGGGAUUCUUCCCCUGUUUUUCAUAGGAAGGAAGGAAAGGAAGGGAGGAAGGGAGGAAGGGAGGAAGGGAGGAAGGAAAGGGUGAAAGAGGAAGGGGGGAAGGGGGGAAGGGAGAAAGAGGAAGGGAGAAAGAGGAAGGGAGGAAGGGAGGAAGGGAGGAAGGGAGGAAGGGAGGGAGGGAGGGAGGGAGGAAGGAAGGAAGGAAGGAAGGAAGGAAGGAAGGAAGGAAGGAA
ensembl:lncRNA